rnacentral:rRNA from 1 species
UGCUUCCUACGGGAGGCGGCAGUGAGGAAUAUUGGUCAAUGGGCUUACGCCUGAACCAGCCAAGUCGCGUGAGGGAAGACUGCCCCACGGGUUGUAAACCUCUUUUGUCAGGGAGCAACGCCGGCUACGUGUAGCCGGACUGAGAGUACCUGAAGAAAAAGCAUCGGCUAACUCCGUGCCAGCAGCCGCGGUAAUACGGAGGAUGCGAGCGUUAUCCGGAUUUAUUGGGUUUAAAGGGUGCGUAGGCGGAAUGCCAAGUCAGCGGUAAAAUCGCGGGGCUCAACCUCGCUCCGCCGUUGAACCUG